AGAAGAGAUAGCAUAUCAUGGCAUGACUUUUCCCUGGUGUCUUUUGUUCUCUACAGGGCACACAGCUGUCAUGGAUGCUAAGGAACUCUAGGAACCUGCUAGAAGAAAGAAGAAUGCCCAGUUCUGGUUCUACCACUGCCCUUUAACGUUCAGGUUUAUGUUACCAUCAUAGAAGAUUUCAAACUAACAGUCUACUGCUUCAGUUUAGGUGGAGGUUCCUGACCCUGGCUGCAUAGUGGCAUCACUUGGAGAUCUUUCAAAAAAUAUUCCAAUGCCUUCUCUUUCCCCUCAGACUAAUUGGAUCAGAAUCUCUGGUGCAGCAGUUCAGGCUUUGGAAAUUUAGAAAUUCUCUGUAAGUCACUCUAAGGAGCAGCAAGUUUAAGAACCUGUGAUGUAGGGGACUGUUUACAGAGAAUGGACUCUCCUGGUUGCUGAAACAAACUAGUCAGCAAGGCUGCAUCCUCAUCUUAGAGUUGAGUGGAAAGAGCAAAGCCAGUGCUAGGUGUCCUGGGACAGCAUUUCAGCCUCCUGUCCCAGGGUCCCUGAAAGCCUAUCUCCGUGAAUUCAUACUUUACACGUUACCACUGCUAGGCACCCAUGUUAACCUCUCUUUACCUUGUCCAAACAAGGCUAAGAAGGGAGAAAUGUUAGGCUUGUGAUUCAUGAAAAGCAUUGCAUUGCAGAGUGGAGAGGAGUCCAGCCUCCUAACAAUGAAGAUUUUCCAACUUCCCAGUAUGGUUCAGGUGUCACUGUCUUCUGGUCAGCCGUGGCCAGAGAGAAUUUUCUUCACGCUCCUAAUAUCCUCAGCAAAUCUUUUCAUUAUGGGAUGUGUAAAGCGCAAGAUCGGCCCGGCUCCAGUUCAAGGGAUUGCAAAUUCUGACUCAGUGGAGCAAGGUUUGAUGAGGUAUUCCCUGCACACAGCAACCCCCCGCAGAGCACGUAACCUUUCUUGCACCAAAAUAAUGAACCCGCGUGUAUUUGCUGAUCUUCUAAAGGCAGCGUAUCUCAUUGUCCCAACCUCUGCAAAAGACAUGAGGGUGUGUCUUCCUUUGGCCCCAUCUUUAAAUCACCUCUAGCCCUGAAGUGCCAGCCUGUCCCCAGGCGGCAGGGAGAAGGGGCUCCUGUUAUCUGGCUUUGCUGAUAUGCCAAGCUAAUGGCACGAAGCUCUCUUGGCCGUCCAGAAUGGAAGAAACAGAACACCAAUUUAAAUCAUGAAAAAAGUCAGUGAAUCUAUCAUCAUUAAUCUUGCUGUCACUUUUAAUUUUGGGGACAUUACCUCACUCAACACCAGUUGAAAAGAGCUGCCAAAACCGAUGAUGUCAUCAUCACUAGCCGCGUCUGACCCUGCCUGCUGAUUCUCAGAGCUCGGAGCAAGUUAAUAAAUCCCUUGGCACUUGGACA
rnacentral:lncRNA from 1 species